rnacentral:rRNA from 1 species
CAUAGGUUAAUGAGGCGAACCGGGGGAACUGAAACAUCUAAGUACCCCGAGGAAAAGAAAUCAACCGAGAUUCCCCCAGUAGCGGCGAGCGAACGGGGAGCAGCCCAGAGCCUGAAUCAGUGUGUGUGUUAGUGGAAGCGUCUGGAAAGGCGCGCGAUACAGGGUGACAGCCCCGUACACAAAAAUGCACAUACUGUGAGCUCGAUGAGUAGGGCGGGACACGUGGUAUCCUGUCUGAAUAUGGGGGGACCAUCCUCCAAGGCUAAAUACUCCUGACUGACCGAUAGUGAACCAGUACCGUGAGGGAAAGGCGAAAAGAACCCCGGCGAGGGGAGUGAAAAAGAACCUGAAACCGUGUACGUACAAGCAGUGGGAGCACGCUUAGGCGUGUGACUGCGUACCUUUUGUAU